rnacentral:rRNA from 1 species
UGGGGAAUAUUGCACAAUGGGCGCAAGCCUGAUGCAGCCAUGCCGCGUGUGUGAAGAAGGCCUUCGGGUUGUAAAGCACUUACAGCGGGGAGGAAGGCGAUAAGGUUAAUAACCUUGUCGAUUGACGUUACCCGCAGAAGAAGCACCGGCUAACUCCGUGCCAGCAGCCGCGGUAAUACGGAGGGUGCAAGCGUUAAUCGGAAUUACUGGGCGUAAAGCGCACGCAGGCGGUCUGUCAAGUCGGAUGUGAAAUCCCCGGGCUCAACCUGGGAACUGCAUUCGAAACUGGCAGGCUAGAGUCUUGUAGAGGGGGGUAGAAUUCCAGGUGUAGCGGUGAAAUGCGUAGAGAUCUGGAGGAAUACCGGUGGCGAAGGCGGCCCCCUGGACAAAGACUGACGCUCAGGUGCGAAAGCGUGGGGAGCAAACAGG